AGCCUGCGCCCAGCUACUGACCUUGCCUGACAGGAUUAAGAGGCAGUUUGUGCCGCAGUCUCUGAAGCCUUUCUGGCUGGGAUGACAAAGUGCCGCCAGCGGAGUUCACAGGGCUUCGUUUUCGUUGAAACGUUUCCUUUCAGAAUAAGUUCCAAGGAGCCUUUGUCUCUCAGAUGGCCAAGGGUAAUCACUUGUGGGACACACCCACCGCAGACGUGGUUCUCUGCACCUUGCUUGGCAGUUGGCAGACAGACCUGCAGACAGGGAUGAGACAGGGCCUGGCAGAGCGCUGGCCCCAUUCAGAAGCAGUGGACCCAGGAUACCUUUCCAUCCUGAAGGAGCCUGGGUUCGAGGUCUGAGAUGAAACAGGUCUUGUGGGCAGUUUGCCCGAUUCCCAAUUUCCACAGAAGCACAACGGUUCAUUUUUCUUUUCUUUUUGGGCUUUGCCUACAGAUUCUCUGUCAAGGAGAAGAAGGUCUGUGUUUGCUUAGGCACAGAUACUCGUGUACUCCAAGCUGACUGGUGACCCCUGCUGUCCCUCCGUGAGCUCUCCUGCUGACCAUUCGCUCACCUACUCCUCUUCUCAUAGGUGCCACCAUAAGGAAUGAGGACAGCCUGGCUCACCCAGACCAGGGCCAGAUAACUCAAGAUACCUCACGCCAACUCUGGGACAAUCGUGGAAGCCAUCAUCUUCAUCCAUGAAGCACGUCUCCAACUGGAGACAGCCAGAGCCACAAAAUCUGAUAGCAGCAUAUAGCCUGAGCUGGAGAGGAUGAUCUGUAGAGUGUGUUUGAACUCAGAGACAUGGUGACUUCACUCUAAAUGCAAGAGCUGGCAGACUCUAGCCAGAGCCAACCUGCAAAGCUGGUGUUCCUGAAAACUAAAGAGGGAAAAAGGACACUCAGAGAGAGUGGCUAGGCUCCACAGGAAGUGCAUGUAUGUGUGCAUAUGUGUGCUUGUGCAUGAGUGUGUGUGUGUGUGUACCUGUGCAUGAAUGUGAGUGUGUGUGUGUGUGUGUGUGUGUGUGCAUAUACAUGUGUUUAUACUUAUCCCUCCUCUCUGCAUGCAGGGGAGGAAGGAGGUACCCACAGUGUAGGCCGCUGAGACCCACAGAGUCCUGCUAUGAGGGACUACACAGAGCCCUACCUGGUACCCAGAGGUGGUAGCCAAACUUUCACUGGUGUUCUCUUGUGCUUUUAAAUAUUUGCCAUCUGUCAGGGAGUGGACAGAGCAGCAUUCCUAGUGAGGGUUAAAAAGGGGACCGUUCCCAUCACUGGGAGAGGGAAUGGGUAGAUAGAUGAACUGGGUUCUGGAUCCUGAUUGCCUCUUCGUACCAGAAAGGAGCAAAGCACAGUGCAGGUGAGUAACUUUAAUUCUUUCAAACCUUAUUUUUAAUGAUGGUUCUUAAAUGCCUUAACCUCUCUUGUAGCCCACCACCCACCAGAGGGAGUGGAAAAGAAAGGACAUGGGGUGGUGGUGGGCAGGAAGUGGACCUGUUUAGAAAGGUUCUUUGGAACAACUCCUGUUCUGUGUUGUCUGCAAAUUGGCAGUUAAGUUCACUAAACAGUCGUAGCAACUCGACCCACUUGUAAACAUUUCGUGGAUACACCACCAGUCAAGUUCAGUAGAGCUGGCUUAGCAAUCGUGGUGACACGACCUAGCAGAGACAGCCAGGCCUCAGCCUCAGCUCCAGUCAAUGGGAGGGACCAACAGGACACCAGGAGAAGUUCUGAGCUGUGCCUCUCUCAGGGAAGCAAAGCUUAGGGAAGACCGAGACCCACAAGCGCUGCACAGCUAGCUAUACCAGCAAGCUAAGCUCUGUCUUAGUCACUCUGUGGAGUCCUAUUUAUACCCUCCAAACAUCACGUGUCCUCCAUGGGCCUUGUCUUAGCACGUGCAUCCAAUCAGCCUGAGUCCAUGGAGUCACGACAAAUGCUGCUCAAACUAUGCAUUCAUUGUAAGGCGGACCAAUACAUUAGCGAAGAUUCCUUCAUUACAUGUCCUUUCUCGUGCUUCCUUUAGCAUAACAUCCUUUCUCCUGUGUCUUCCUCUAUGCCUGAACUGGUGGAAACAGGAUUUGUUUUUUUUUUUUUUUUUUUUUCUCCAGCCCUGGCGUUUUUUUGUUUUUUUGUUUUUGUUUUCUUUUUUUUUCGGAGCUGGGGACCGAACCCAGGGCCUUGCGCUUGCUAGGCAAGCGCUCUACCACUGAGCUAAAUCCCCAACCCUAGGAUUUGGUUUUGAGACAGGUUCUCUCUAUGCAACUCUGGCUGUCCAUGUAGACCAGGCUGGCCUUGAAUUCACAGAGAUCCACCCACCUCCAGAGAGCGCUGGGCAUAAAGGUGUGCAUCACCACCCUCUGCAUUUCAAUUCCUGAAGUACAGAGCAGAAGAGAGAAAGAUAAACCGACGGUUAGACAUGUAGUGAUGCUUCAGACGCCACAGAUGAAAAUGCCUAGCAAGCAGCCGGAGGGAAAAGCCAGCCGGGAGCUGCUGCCACAGAGCUGGAUGCAGACGGCAGAAGAGCAUCGUCGUUAGAGAGACAGAGAGGAAAACCACCAAGCUGGACCUGGACCCAACUCAGCUACCGCUCAAGAGGAACAAAGGAAGGAACAUACAAGCCACUCCUCGGAGGGCAUCGAGCGAGUGGCACGGAGAGCUGCAAGCAGGAAGGAGGCUUAGUCCUUGUACUGGCUGGUUUUGUGUGUCAACUUGAUACAAGCUGGAGUUAUCACAGAGAAAGGAGCCUCCCUUGAGGAAAUGCCUCCAUGAGAUCCAGCUGUAAGGCAUUUUCUCAACUAGUGAUCAAAGGAGGAGGACCCGGCCCACUGUGGGUGGUGCCAGUCCUGGGUUCUGUAAGAGAGCAAGCUGAGCAAGCCAGGGGAAGCAAGUCAGUAAGUAACAUCCCUCCAUGGCCUCUGCAUCAGCUCCUGCUUCCUGACCUGCUUGAGUUCCAGUCCUGACUUCCUUUGGUGAUGAACAGCAAUGUGGAAGAGUAAGCUGAAUAAACCCUUUCCUCCCCAA